CGUGGCCAUGAGUCAGAGGGUGAGGGGGCUGGGAUUGUCGGCGCGCAGGGCAGUCUGCACGCCUGCGCGGAGGGUGGCUAAUGGCCGCUGCGUAUUUGUAGGACUUUGCAGUCAGUUUACACCCGAGUGUGACUGCGUUGGUGUUUGGUACUAGUAUUUCAAGGAAAUCCCCUCUUCUGGUUGAAAUCCCAGUUCUGUGGCGCGAGUCCCCGGACCGGCAGCACCAGCAGCACCUGGGUAAUAGAGAAAUGCAAACUAUCGGAUCCUGCUAGAGAUCUAGCGGGUCAGAAUCCGGGAGGCGGGCCCAGUAGUUUACAGACUACUUCAGGUGAUUGGCUGCACGCUGGAGUUUGGGACUGCUUUGAAGUGUCGCGUUUCCCUUAGUUCCGAUGCUGGGGGUGACUCCGCCAAUGGCAGCUGAGCUAAACCAGGCCGUUUACCUUCCACAGGGCUUAGGUCUUACCCACUCCGACUUGGACGCCGGAGGAUAAAGGGAAAAAUAAAUUGUAUGUCUGGAAAGGCGAGAUCUAGGAGAAGGAUUGGACUCGACAUUGAAUGCAGAAUUCUAUGUCUCCAGAUUUUAUUACUCAUAACAUCUCGUCUACAGACGUGUGGCCCUCACUUAGACUUCUCCAAUCAAAGUCUUCUUUCCUGCAGCCAGGGUUUGGAAGGCAGUUGGGAGUAUAAGUCAAGGAGGAGACUGCUGAAGCCGCUCAUCUGAAUAAAGUACAAAAAACAGCCUUCAGGAAGAAUGUUCCUGGGUGGCUCAGUUGGUUAAGCAACACCUUCCAUCGGGGUCAUGAUCCUUCAGUCCCUGCAUCAGGCUCCCAGCUUCAUAGGGAGUCUGCUUCUCUCUUUGACCUUCUCUUCUCAUAUCCUCUCUCUCAAAAAAAAUAAAAAAAUAAAAAAAAAAUAAAAAAAAAUGCUUGGUAUAAAACUUUUGGGUUCACAGUCGAUCUAAAUAGCCAAAACUAUGGAACAGAACCAUCAAAAAAGCAUAUAGUUGGAGAAUUCAAGUUAUGGUCAAUGACAGAUAUCUAAUUCAUAAAAAUGUAGAUUUUUUUAGGACUAUGUGUGUAGUAAAGCACUAACGUUUUCCAAAGGAAGGUAUGGCCUUUGCUUUUUGCUGGGAGGUGAUGUCUGGGCUCUUGGAAUGUCCUGCAGCACGAGAAUAUCUGUUUAGGAAGAGGCCUUGGGCUGCAUGGGAGAGUGUAAUAACGUCCUUUAUGUUGCAAGCUUUGGGCCUGUUCAUGUGCCUCUUACCUUGGCUUAUAAAAACAAACAAAC
rnacentral:lncRNA from 1 species